GUCAGGAUGGCCAAGUUGUCUAAGGCACCAGACUCAAGCUUUCACUUCCCUCCACUGGGGCUUCUGGUCUCUGGAUUGAGGCAUGCGUUUGAAUCCCACUCCUGACA
rnacentral:tRNA from 1 species